GCUGUGUAAGUCACAUGCAGGGAGGAGUGACUAAGGCUGCAUAAACAAAGUGAUUUACCGCCUAAAUGGCAGACAACUGAGCAAUGACACCGAAACUGCUUCAUUAAAAUAGUUGUUUUGUAUUUUUAUGCCUUACAUGUAACACCCCAGUUCAAGCACAUUAUAUUUCUUAAAACAGUAGGCUAGUUGAAUGGUUGGCAGAGUCUAAUGCAAGAACGGCAGUGCUAAAGUAAAGACGUUACUACUACACAGUUUAGUUCAAUUUCUAUAUGCAGAGUAUCAGACAGUCCUGUCUCGCUGGGGAACAGAGCUUCCAGUUCCUGCC